UACGGGGGGGGCAAGCGUUGUUCGGAAUUACUGGGCGUAAAGGGCUCGUAGGUGGUCAACUAAGUCGGACGUGAAAUCCCUCGGCUUAACCGGGGAACUGCGUCCGAUACUGGAUGACUUGAGUUCGGGAGAGGGAUGCGGAAUUCCAGGUGUAGCGGUGAAAUGCGUAGAUAUCUGGAGGAACACCGGUGGCGAAGGCGGCAUCCUGGACCGCCACUGACGCUGAGGAGCGAAAGCCAGGGGAGCAAACGGG
rnacentral:rRNA from 1 species